rnacentral:tRNA from 2 species
UGCGGGAUCGUCUAACGGUAGGACAACGGAUUCUGGAUCCGUUUAUCUAGGUUCGAAUCCUAGUCCCGCAGCAA